rnacentral:rRNA from 1 species
AAGAAGAGUGGCGAACGGGUGAGUAACACGUGGGUAACCUGCCCAUCAGAAGGGGAUAACACUUGGAAACAGGUGCUAAUACCGUAUAACAAUCGAAACCGCAUGGUUUUGAUUUGAAAGGCGCUUUCGGGUGUCGCUGAUGGAUGGACCCGCGGUGCAUUAGCUAGUUGGUGAGGUAACGGCUCACCAAGGCCACGAUGCAUAGCCGACCUGAGAGGGUGAUCGGCCACAUUGGGACUGAGACACGGCCCAAACUCCUACGGGAGGCAGCAGUAGGGAAUCUUCGGCAAUGGACGAAAGUCUGACCGAGCAACGCCGCGUGAGUGAAGAAGGUUUUCGGAUCGUAAAACUCUGUUGUUAGAGAAGAACAAGGAUGAGAGUAACUGUUCAUCCCUUGACGGUAUCUAACCAGAAAGCCACGGCUAACUACGUGCCAGCAGCCGCGGUAAUACGUAGGUGGCAAGCGUUGUCCGGAUUUAUUGGGCGUAAAGCGAGCGCAGGCGGUUUCUUAAGUCUGAUGUGAAAGCCCCCGGCUCAACCGGGGAGGGUCAUUGGAAACUGGGAGACUUGAGUGCAGAAGAGGAGAGUGGAAUUCCAUGUGUAGCGGUGAAAUGCGUAGAUAUAUGGAGGAACACCAGUGGCGAAGGCGGCUCUCUGGUCUGUAACUGACGCUGAGGCUCGAAAGCGUGGGGAGCAAACAGGAUUAGAUACCCUGGUAGUCCACGCCGUAAACGAUGAGUGCUAAGUGUUGGAGGGUUUCCGCCCUUCAGUGCUGCAGCUAACGCAUUAAGCACUCCGCCUGGGGAGUACGACCGCAAGGUUGAAACUCAAAGGAAUUGACGGGGGCCCGCACAAGCGGUGGAGCAUGUGGUUUAAUUCGAAGCAACGCGAAGAACCUUACCAGGUCUUGACAUCCUUUGACCACUCUAGAGAUAGAGCUUCCCCUUCGGGGGCAAAGUGACAGGUGGUGCAUGGUUGUCGUCAGCUCGUGUCGUGAGAUGUUGGGUUAAGUCCCGCAACGAGCGCAACCCUUAUUGUUAGUUGCCAUCAUUCAGUUGGGCACUCUAGCAAGACUGCCGGUGACAAACCGGAGGAAGGUGGGGAUGACGUCAAAUCAUCAUGCCCCUUAUGACCUGGGCUACCGUGCUACAUGGGAAGUACACGAGUC